AAGCGCAAGAAGUGCCGAGAUUACCGUGGUCAGGAAGGCGGUGUCUCCAGGGUUGAGGCACGGGCAUUACACUGCGCUCGUGCUUACCCCUGCCGCUACCCCAAACUAGGGUAGAUGGGGCACUAAUUUUUGGUAGUGGGGGAUUGCGUUCGCGCUGUCCCCUG